rfam:Myotis brandtii contig189879, whole genome shotgun sequence.
CUCGGGGGGGGAUCCCUAAGCCCAGAUUGUGAGAGGGUGCAGGCCAGGCCGAGGGACCCCACCAGUGCAUG